rnacentral:misc_RNA from 1 species
ACAAGCCUAGCGAGGGGAAAAUCGGAGUUACGUGUUUUUUCCGUUUUUUCAGGUAGCAUCAACGUGUGGAUUAUUUUGAGUGUAGAAUGCCAAGCCGCCAACAAUAUGGCAGAAAAUAAAAACUAAUUUAUCAGCACCCUGGCACCACUGUAAAUGACUACACGCAAGUUUCAAAUCACUCAGUUUUCAUCAAAACCGAACCUAAUCAGAAAUGAGUAAAGGGGAAUUCCACGAAAACUGAGUGAUAUUCACCCAGAUCCAAGGGAAGAGCUGAAAAAGAAAGUGAACCCGAAAAAUUUGAACGUCAGUCGCGUGAUUCAAGGCAAAGAUGGAGCGGUAAUGGUAGUUUUGAAGGAUGAAGGAUCGUCGAAACAGUUGAAGGAGAGUGUCAAGAAGGCAAUGGGAGAUAAAUUUGACGUGUCUGUACGAGAAAGCAUUAAACCUACAAUCAAAAUAGUUGGAAUGAAUGAGGAGUACGAGGAAAAGGAACUACAGGAAAAGCUUGGUCAGCCAGAAUGACGUCUUUCAAGGUCUCAAGUACUUCAAACUGUGGAAGUUCCUGAGCAACCCAAGGCGAGAAUAUGCACAGUACUCUGCGAUUGUGCACAGCAAAAAAUUGUGUAAAAAUGGAAGGUGUAAAAUGGAAUGUUGAAAACAGGAAGGUUCAAUAUUACAUCUGUUUUAGACGAAUUGUCACUAAAAAUUCAGCCUAACAGAUUUUACUCUUAAAAGGUUAAAUAUUUCGAUGGAAGGUGUAAUUUUGUGACGAUUUCGAUGCAAUAUUGCAUAUAACAGGUUUUCGACCUUUUUUUCGAUACCUAAUUUGACAACUGUCAAAACUUGUUGUUUUUCAAAGGCCGCCGCAGAUUGAUUGUUUUGUGUUUGCUGCUGCUCGGGUGCAAGUUUGUUGUGGCAAAGGAAAAUCGUGACGAAAAAGUGAUUCUGCGCGUCCGGGUUGUCCAAAAUGUACAGCAGAGUACGGUUCAUGUGUGUGCUUGUUUGCGCGUUUUCCUCUUACGCGCUGGAAUACUGGUGUGAAGAGAAGGUGUCUAGGAAGUUUUGGGAAAAUUCAGCUUUUGCGGAGAGCGUAAUGACCGGUAACAUGCGACAGGCGCGUGAUCCCGACACGGGAUGGUAGUUCUUCUUCUUUGAUCCCAGAGCCAAAAUCGAGAUCUUCGAACGGCCGUGGCCCAAAUCGACAGUGUUUCCGCGGGGUUACAUCUGCAACUCGAUCAAUCUGGUCUUCCUCCCGUACGUGUUCAACUCGAUCGAACGCGAGGUGGGGAAUCACUUCUCCGCCGAGAGAAUGGCCGCGCUGGACGAUCCGGACUCGCCCGACUUUGAAUCGACCUUCGAGUUCAUCAAGGCGCCAAUCAUCCGCAAGGAAGUGCGCCGGAAGAACGUCAAGCUGCCGCUGAGGAGAGCCGUAACCGACCCUGGCUGUUCAGACCCUUGCACGAGAAGUACCUCUACGUUGGGCGGCGAGGUCUCCUACUACGCAAGAACAGUCCCGCCGUUUCGCCGUUACACCUAUCCGGUUCCCAACGUAAGUCCGCAUCGUCAUCACAAACAGCGAGGAGUCUCCGAUACGGCGUGUCCCCUGUCGAUCGACUCGUGAUCGAAGUUUUCAGCGGCAAUCACUUGGUAAGUGGACUUCAGUGCAAAAUCUCGACAAGUUCUUUACUAACCAUCAACGCUCUUUCCACAGCCCUAACCGCCGCCGAGAAGUAUCCGUUUCAGUUUCCAGACUCGCGUUAACGAGUCCAUCUGGUGCAAAGGGAUCGCGUAGUGUCCGUACGGCGAGAACGAAUCUUUUAUGCACUGUAGAGCACUGCAAAAUCCGCCGCAACUGCCGCCGGACGUCGGUGCUGCAGACACGGCUCAAGUCGAUGGACACAGCCAAUCGGGAAAAACAACAACGGCGAAGAUUGGUAAAGCGGGCAAAUUCUUCGACUGAUCCGGAACCGGAUCGCGAGUUGACAAGCAGCUGGUACUGGUCUCGUAACCGACGCAGGGCCAAUCGCCAAAGGACGUACCAGUAGGGUGUAAUAUGGUUGUAUGGAAAAAAAUAAAGUUGUCCAAAUUUGGCUAGCACAGCAACUUUUUGGUUCCUUAUAGGGUCCUUAACAACUCCCCAAAGUUUGGGAACGAUUG